UUCAUAGUGGAAUGAGGGUGGGCAGGAAGGCGGGAAGAAUCUGCAGAUGGUGUAAGCUUUGGGAGGAGGGUGCACUGGGAGACAUCUCAGCUAGAAGGAGGAAGGAGACCAAAACAGAGCCCAGCUUGGAGGAGUCCUUGGAAGCGACCAGACUAUUGCAGUCCACUCCUGCCUGCCUGCGUCUCCUCCCAUGAAGGGUGAUGGGCUGUGGACCUCUGGGAGGUGAUUAGCUCCUGAGGACAGAGCCCUCAUGAAUGGGAUUAGUGCCCUAAAAAGAGAACACCCAGAGACCCCUGCCCAUUGCACUAUGUGAGCACACAGCCAGAAGAUGACCGUCUAUGAGCAAGGGCCAUCUCCAGACCCCAAAUCUGCAGAUGGCUUGAUCCUGGACUUCCCAACAUCCAGAAUAGCAAGAAAUAAAUAUCUAUUGUUUAUAACCCA